UAAGUUUAUUUAAAACUCUUUCAAGACACAAGCACAACCAAUCCAUGGUCCAGAUCUGAUCUGAAAUCUGAAUACAUCGGUUAGAACUGAUGGGAUCCGGUGGGAGCAAGGGUUCUUGCAGGGGAGGAGCUUCCUCGUCGAGUGGUGGGAGGAAGGGAAGAUCUAUUGGAAAGAAUAGAGUUUUCCAAUCCUCUCGCCUGGGAGCGCCUUCUGGAUCUGCUGACUCCCACUUUGACCGUCAGGUCUUUCUCCAUUCUCUUGUCUCAUAUUUUCCCCUCUCUCUUCUUCCUCUUCCUUGAAAAAGAAGUUCGCUUCUUCAGGUGGUUGUUGUUGAUCACCAUAAUAAAGACUACGGCUCUAAUUUCACCAACCAGAACAGGAGAGAACGGGAAUAUGAGUCGGAUCAAGUGAAAAGAGAAUGUUCCAGAAAGGUUAAAGCUGAAUCGGCAUCUGAUUAUGAAAUGCCACUGCCAUGCAUAUCUUCCAAUGGUGUAGAUAUAGAUGCCUCGAGAAGUGGUAGCAGCUCUGGCAGAGCCACCACAGCAGUGCAUCACUCUCCUUCUCGCUGCCUCUCUGGCUUUAGCUUCUUUUCGGGUAACAUUAGCUUCGCAGAGCUAAUAGUUUGGGUUCGUCUAGGGCAUAUCCUGUUUCUCCUCCAAGUCUUACAAUAUUGAACCGUGAUGACAACUUCGAGACACUUGAACAUCGACAACUUUCCCCCUAUUCUUCUUCUAUAAACUUAUAUUCUCCCUUAACCUUCAAUGAUUCAGACACAGAUAGAGAUGAAAUUGGUGGGUCAAGUUCAAAUGGUCGUAACCAAGACGAUUCUCUGAUCAAACAUGGUGAAUACUGGGCUCAACGUGAUGAACUACAUGGUGCUUGUUUUAAUGCCUCAGACGUGACCACUGGAAAAACUAAUAAUAAUACAAAUGAUGGCAUAGUUGAGAUUUCCGAUGAUGGAAGGUUGGAUAAGAUGGAAUUUUUAUCUAACAUCUGGGAACAUGUUGAAUCUGAUGACUUUAUGGAACGUGUGUGUCAAGGUUUAGAUUCUCGACCCUCUUCCCUUGGUGGAAAUCAGGCCAUGUUAAUUCAGCUCCCAUCUCAUAUUCUACCAUUAAACCAUGAUCCCUUGAUCUUACCAGCUGGGAGAGUCGGUGAUCAUGUUGAUAAUGAUCACCAUGGAGUUCGACCAUUAAACCAUGAUCCCUUGAUCUCAUCAGCUAGGAGAGUUGGUGAUCAUGUUGAUAGCGAUCACCAUGGACUUUGUUUACUAGAAAAUAUGAAGGAUUCUCAGAAAGUGUAAUGUUUUCACCAGCUCAGAAUCCCUUAUGAACAAUUUGCUGACAGGGUUGACCAACUACCCAAAUCCCAAGAUAGCUCAAAAGGGGAGAGGCAAGUUUCACAUUACUUUCUUAGCUGUGGGAUUUAUUGAAUUCAGGAAUAGAGAAACAUUCCCAGAUGAGACUGAAGCUUGUAAACACUGCAACUGUAGAAGAUCCAGAUGUUUGAAACUGUAAGUUCACAUGCGAGACAGAACAUUUCACUUGAGUAAUAUGUUACUCGGACUUGGUUUAAGCAUAUACUCGAGAUCGGUAUGUUUCAUUUUCUUUUAAGUUUUCUUCAUGUAUUUAGAAGAUGUUUGGAACAUCAUACCCUGAAUGUUCAGAGGGUGCUCAAAAAUAGUGAAGAUGUUUAGAACAUCUGUUGAGUUUUGUUGUUUGUUGUGAUUGGCAUUUAUUGUGAGUGCUUUGCAGCAGGGAUUUACUGCAAGGAUUAUUGUGCAUGUGAUAACUGUUUGAACAAGCCAGAUUAUGAGGUUAUUGUUCUUGAUAUUCGACUUCAAAUUGAAUUGCUUAACCCUCUCGCAUUUGUCCACCUAUUGUUAACCCAACUAAUGAUUCCCCUAAUGUUACUGUAAUUAUAAAUUCUAUAAUCCUACACUUUUUUCCCUUUAAAUUUGUGUAAUUUCAUAAGUGUUUGACAAGAUGAACACACCAUCAGCCAAGCACAAAAGUGGAUGCAAAUGCAAGAGGUCAAAAUGCCUAAAAUAGUAUUGCGAGUGCUAUUGGGACUGGUAGGAGGCGGAAAAAUCCGGUUUUCUAUUGCCAUAGACUCGGUAGAUGAAAUGUUGUAUAGAUUGUAAGAGACUCAUUUCAGGAUAUCCCCCUGCUAUCCCGUACCAAGAUAGGCUGUUCCAAGAUUAUCCCCAUCAUAUCCCGUCCCGGUUCAGUAUUUUUUGUGGCCGGUUCAGCAGUUUUGGUGACCGGUUCAGAUUUUUAACGUGUUUGGACCGGGUCACCUGACGUAGUUAUUCCAGCGAGGGAUAUCCCAAGAAUGGGAUAUCCCGGCUUGGGAUAUCCCAAUUUAGGGAUAUCCCGGCUUGGGGUCUAGGGGUUUGAGGCUUGGGGCUUGGGUUUAGGGUUGGGCUGGUGUUUUUGGGCUUUUGUUUCAGUGUUUUGGGCUUUGGAUCUCUCAAGUUUUGGAUUACUGGGUUUUGUACUACAUCGGAUAGUGAUUUCAGAGACCAAAAUAUAUACCAAAAAUUUAUUAUUAUUAAAAAAGAAUUGAGGAUGAGGUUUCUUUUUAAUUGAAAUGGGCUUUUUUAUAAUAAAUCCAACAAGCCAACUCUUGGCCAUUGAUGACUUUAAUCCAACAAACCAAAUGGACCGUCUGAAUGAGGGGAAGAAAAUAAGGAAGCCAGCCACUAAGAAAUGAAGCUUCUCUCUCCUUUGUUAUAGGAUUUAUGAAUAACCUCAAUUCCGGCAAUAAAACUCCACCGUUUCUUUCUAUCUUCGUUUGUUGGGUUUUGGCUCAGAUCGACUCCCGGAUAUAUUUAUUCAUCACUCGAAGCAAAGCAAAAGGGAAAGUAGGCAAAAGGGAAAGUAGGAGGGUUUUGAGGAGAGUGAAAAAUGGUUGGUCCUACUUCAUAGGAGAUUGUUAUCAGGGUUUUUGGUUUUCAGAUUCAAAGAAUCACUGUUUCGUUCAGUUGAAAUUAUGGAUCUGUGCGGUAUUUUUUUUGUUUGUUUAUCAUGUUUUUUGUUUUUGAAUUUUCUGUUUUUCAGCAGAAGAUUGUUGGGGCUUGGGUUGUUGGGCUUAGCUUGAAUUCAGUACAGAUUUUUUUAAGUGUGCUGUUGCAUUUGAUUUUCGUUCUUAUUCUGUUCAGGGAAUACCCCCCUCCUAUUCCGAUACAGUAUAAGCUAAUCUGUGGAUAUCCCCUUCAUAUUC